GAUAUGUUACUUUAUUUGAAAAAGAAAAUCCGCGCUGUAUAUGGAUCCUCAUACCACGUAUUUGUUUUUUUGGGGGGGGGGGAUAGAAACCAGUUGGCACCUAGGCUGGCAUGGUAGGGGGCUAUUCCCCUCCUAUUGUGUUUCAGGCAGGGAUUACUAGAACACGACUACCCAUUUUCUAUAUUUUAUGUAUGUAAUAAGAGUAAACGUGUAUUCUGUUCACCACCAUGCCACUUCUAGUUUUAUUUACAUUGCAGGCAAUAUUUGCAAGCACUUCCAUGGCCCUAGGAGGUUGAGAGUAUUUAAAUCAUAUCAUCUGUUGAGAUAAAGUGAGCUUUCACUUUGCUAGCCCUGCAAUCACCUACUAGUAGGGUUGCCACCUUUUUUGGAAAAAAAUACCGGCCUUCCUAUAUAUUUCGAUUUUUUCCCCUAUUAAUAACAUUGGUGUCAAGCAUCAUUUUUACCGGUCAGGAAACUGUUGAUCCUGUAGAUCGCUCUCCUCCUUAGUAAGCAAUGGCCCCUUUAUAGUGUGAGCCCAAUACACAAGUUCUCAUACACAAACUUAAAAGAGUAUGCCAGGCUUCUGUCUGCCCACAUCUGCGCUGAGAAGCAAAAGGGGCUAGCAGUUGAGGUUGGCACAGAGUUGAACAUUAAAGCAAAUUUCUCACUCUGCCUGGGCUUAAGGGAAGAGAACAAGAUCCAGGAUCUAUACUUGUUCAGCAGGUGCACAAGACUGGAUUGUUUGGUCAGGCUGUUUUUGCUGUACUUUUGCAGACGAAGAUACUUUGAGUUAUUAAUGUCAGAGACCCUUCUAUGUCUUCCUUUACUCCUUGUAAAUUCAAGAUCCACUUAUCAGCAACAAAUCUUGUAAAGGUCUCCACUUCUGUGGCAUCUGCACACUGUGAUGGAAAAGUAAAGAAAGAGCCAGCACUUCAUGGUGGAACUGCUUUCAGAAAAGCUAUUGUUUCUCCUACUCAGUGUUACUGAAGGAAUUUCUGAGGUACUUGGAUUUUUACUAUUAAAUGCUGACUAUGAAGAUUUUCAUUCAUCCAGGUCAUAUUAUAUCUAGUAUAGGUCAAUCUAAAAACAACUGGACUUGCUGAGUAAUCAAUGAAGACGUUUCACUACUCAUCCGAGCAGCUUCUUCAGUUCAACCCUGUAUUGGAAUGGAUUCGGUGUAUCACUACAAUCAAGUGAACAUUUGCAGUGUUUGCGUUCCCGUUGGCAGGCAUUGUGACUCAUAUUUGUAGCUUGAAAACAUUUUUUUAAAAAUCCUGAAACUGUUACAUUUGCCUAUGGUACAUUUAACAUCAAAUUGGCAGUCUCUGUCUGCAGCUGUUUAGCAUUUAUUUAGAUGGGAAACAUGCUGGCCAAGACUUGUGGUGCUUUUGGACAUGACCUUUUUAAGUUUAUUCCCUCUCCUCCCAUCCCCUAUCAGCACCAAGAAGCCCAUUAAUGUCAACAUUUUAACAGUGUUAACAGUAUUGGUAAAUUAAACUGGAAGAAGUAUUUUUCUGUCCCUUUCUUUUUAAGAUCAAUGUCACAGAACAAAAAUGAUAUAUUCAAAUGUAUUUUCAAUUAUUACAAUGAUUUUGACAGAUCUGAAAGAGAAGUACUGGAACAGGUUUUAUAUAUAUUUUUAUAUUUUAUUCAAAAUAUGACUGGUGUACAAAAUAAAGCAACUUCACAAGCCCCAAAUAAAUAUGUCCAAAGUA